CCUACGGGAGGCAGCAGUGAGGAAUAUUGGUCAAUGGACGAGAGUCUGAACCAGCCAAGUAGCGUGAAGGAUGACUGCCCUAUGGGUUGUAAACUUCUUUUAUAUGGGAAUAAAAUGUUCCACGUGUGGGAUUUUGUAUGUACCAUAUGAAUAAGGAUCGGCUAACUCCGUGCCAGCAGCCGCGGUAAUACGGAGGAUCCGAGCGUUAUCCGGAUUUAUUGGGUUUAAAGGGAGCGUAGGUGGAUUGUUAAGUCAGUUGUGAAAGUUUGCGGCUCAACCGUAAAAUUGCAGUUGAAACUGGCAGUCUUGAGUACAGUAGAGGUGGGCGGAAUUCGUGGUGUAGCGGUGAAAUGCUUAGAUAUCACGAAGAACUCCGAUUGAGAAGGCAGUUCACUGGACUGCAACUGACACUGAGGCUCGAAAGUGUGGGUAUCAAACAGGAUUAGAUACCCGAGUAGUC
rnacentral:rRNA from 1 species